rnacentral:rRNA from 1 species
GAUGAAUGCUGGCGGCGUGCCUAAUACAUGCAAGUCGAGCGAACAGAUAAGGAGCUUGCUCCUUUGACGUUAGCGGCGGACGGGUGAGUAACACGUGGAUAACCUACCUAUAAGACUGGGAUAACUUCGGGAAACCGGAGCUAAUACCGGAUAACAUAUUGAACCGCAUGGUUCAAUAGUGAAAGGCGGCUUUGCUGUCACUUAUAGAUGGAUCCGCGCCGUAUUAGCUAGUUGGUAAGGUAACGGCUUACCAAGGCAACGAUACGUAGCCGACCUGAGAGGGUGAUCGGCCACACUGGAACUGGGACACGGUCCAGACUCCUACGGGAGGCAGCAGUAGGGAAUCUUCCGCAAUGGGCGAAAGCCUGACGGAGCAACGCCGCGUGAGUGAUGAAGGUCUUCGGAUCGUAAAACUCUGUUAUCAGGGAAGAACAAAUGUGUAAGUAACUGUGCACAUCUUGACGGUACCUGAUCAGAAAGCCACGGCUAACUACGUG